GAAAGUUUGCUGUUCCGAGGAAUUUCAAGGCCUGAAAAAGAUGCUCAAUUCAAUGAAAAAAAAAAAUGUUCUUCCCCGUAGUUCAUCUAUCAUCUGUCAAUUCACAAGAAAUAUUAGCUACAUGAGUCAACCAGUUUGCUCGGUUUCAGAUAUUUUGGCAUCUUUUUGACUCGUUACAGCCGGCUUUUGCCAAGAAGCUCAUGAUUUGGA
rnacentral:lncRNA from 1 species